AACAUCUCAAAUCUCUUUUUAGGAGGAGAAUUGGAUUUGAGCGAUUCCUUUUUGUUAAAGAAAGGGCCGCUUGAAAUGCAGGUGCAGCUGGACAUUCUUCUGAGCUAAAAGCAUAUCUAUUUAGUCCCGUUAAACGGAUUAUUACUUUUUGCUUCAGCUAAUAUAAAGGUCGAAUUAUCCAAAGCUGAUUGCAGGAACUUGGUCUCUUUAAGCAGACCUUGUAA
rnacentral:misc_RNA from 1 species